rnacentral:tRNA from 1 species
GCGGAUUUAGCUCAGUUGGGAGAGCGUCAGACUGAAGAAAUCUGAAGGUCCUGUGUUCGAUCCACAGAAUUCGCA